AGUGAACGCUGGCGGUAGGCCUAACACAUGCAAGUCGAACGGCAGCACAGUAAGAGCUUGCUCUUACGGGUGGCGAGUGGCGGACGGGUGAGGAAUACAUCGGAAUCUACUUUUUCGUGGGGGAUCACGUAGGGAAACUUACGCUAAUAUCGCAUACGACCUACGGGUGAAAGCAGGGGAUCUUCGGACCUUGCGCGAUUGAAUGAGCCGAUGUCGGAUUAGCUAGUUGGCGGGGUAAAGGCCCACCAAGGCGACGAUCCGUAGCUGGUCUGAGAGGAUGAUCAGCCCCACUGGAGCUGAAACACGGUCCAGACUCCUACGGGAGGCAGCAGUGGGGAAUAUUGGACAAUGGGCGCAAGCCUGAUCCAGCCAUACCGCGUGGGUGAAGAAGGCCUUCGGGUUGUAAAGCCCUUUUGUUGGGAAAGAAAAGCAGCAGGUUAAUACCCCGCUGUUCUGACGGUACCCAAAGAAUAAGCACCGGCUAACUUCGUG
rnacentral:rRNA from 1 species